rnacentral:lncRNA from 1 species
AUUGAAGGAUGGAGGUUCUUUUUCUUAUUCUCAUCACAUACUUUUGGCAUCUGACUUUUCUGAAACAAAAAAAGGAUAUUGAACAGAUUGAUGGUAAUCAGAUGCUCAAAGUGCUUUAUCACCAGCAUUGUUCCGUGCCAAUAUCAUCAUCAAGCCACUGCAAGGAGUCAGAAGGCUUUGACAAGCCUGCUAGUGUGGAGCAUAAGGGAAUAAGAAUACCAAGGUGGGGAAGAGGAAUGAGAAUACCAAAUCAAAUGUAAAUCCAAUGUAGACCUGGAUGUGGGUAUCAGGAGAUUUGCAAGGUCAAAUCAUCAGACAUAUAUAGAAAAUGGGAGAAUAUUUCAUCGACUACGACUAAGACUACUGCAGAAUCGAUUUGACUGGAGGUACCCUACUCUGCACUUUAUAGAUGUUUAUCUCUUCUUCAAUCAAUUACAUUCAUGUCUACAUGAAAAAUCAGAUAUGAUUAGCUACGAGUGAUAGUUACUGGUAUGACAUGUUACUACACGAGUGAUAGCUACGAGGGAUUGUGUCGCUUAGUAUAUUGUUGCAUCACCUGGUACAAAGUCUCAUGCCACCUGGUACAACAUAGUAUAGGUAAGUAUACGGCAUUCGAUACAUGAAUAUGGAUCGAUAUAUUAUCAAUUUAAGCCUUACUCAGAACAUUAUUAUUACCAUUACAAUAAUAAUAAAAUCAUAAAUACUAACUAUUUAGUAUCACCUAUAUAG